rnacentral:rRNA from 1 species
AUUGAACGCUGGCGGCAGGCCUAACACAUGCAAGUCGAACGAGUGGCGGACGGGUGCGUCAUGUCUGGGAAACUGCCUGAUGGAGGGGGAUAACGACUGGAAACGGUAGCUAAUACCGCAUACCAUCAUAUGUGCCCAGAUGGGAUUAGCUUGGGGGUGGGGUAACGGCUAAACAAGGCGACGAUCCCUAGCUGGCCUGAGAGGCGGACCAGCAAAACUGGAACGGGGAAACGGCCCAGACUCCUACGGGAGGCAGCAGUGGGGAAUAUUGCACAAGGGGCGCAAGCCUGAUGCGGACAGGCGGCGUGUAUGAAGAAGGCCUUCGGGUUUAAAAGUACUUUCAGCGGGGAGGCGGUACCCGAAGAAGAAGCACCGGCUAACUCCGUGCCAGCAGCCGCGGUAAUUC